rnacentral:lncRNA from 1 species
CUCCUGCUCUCCUCUCUAUGGAGCCACCAUGUGAUCCCAGGAAGAGGACAUCAGCAGAAAGCAUCCUCAGUAAGUUGGGAUUUUAGGCCUGUGCCAUAAGCCCCAGAUGAAAAUUGAAUUGGAAAGAAAUCUGGGUGAAGAAAAGGAUGACAAGGAGGAGCCAGGUGUAAUGGCUUGCAGCUAUAAUCACAAAACUGUGGACGCUGAGGCAGAACAACUUUCUCCAUGCACAGCUCCACUCCCGGGUACCUUUUCAUUCACCUAGGCACCAACUGACACCAAUAUUGGGGGGUGAUUUAGGGAUCCUAAGCCUGGUCACUCUGAUGUUUUGCUAAAUUCCCUUGUCCCCUGAAGAGGGCCUUAAGCUUGUUGUCUGCCUUGGUCGUUGUAAUAACUCAUCUUGGUUGUCAACUUGAAUACAUCUGGAAUGAGCUAAAACCCAAGCUGCUUGGCAUACCUGGGAUAGAUUUUCUUAAGACUCACCUUCAAUCUGGGCUACACCUUCUAGGGACUGGCCACAUACAGGACACGGGAGAAAGACACUUUCUCUUUGCUUGCUUCCCCCCACUCUAACUAGCAAGUUCAUCUAUCGGCUAUUGAGGCAUUCCUUCUCUGGUAUUAGAACUCGAUUCUUCAGAUUCCAGUGUAGACUGCAGGAAUCCUCUGGGACUCUAACACCAGACUGGAACUGCUGAGACAUCUAGCCUCAGGGACUGCACAAAUACCAGAUUCUCAGCCUCUCCAUUACAAGACAGCCAUUGUUGACUACUCAGACUACAUCCAGUAGCCCCUCUCCCUGUCACAAUUACAUCAGUUAACAGACUAGAGGUGAUACCCAAAGAACACGGAGGCCUGUGUGCUGAAGUAAGUCAACACAUUACUUCCGGAUCUAGAUGCUAGGAGAAAUUUCUCUCCUUAGCCCCAUCUAAUUCUCAUGUUCUCUACAAGUGCAGUGGGCACACAGAAGAGCUCUUUCUUCCUAGCAUUUUUAAGAGCCCCUGUAUCAGGCUCCAACUCUGGGCUUCAGGGUUCAGCUUAUAUGUGCUGUUUGUGGAUGAUUUAGACCACAAUACUAAACUCCUCUUUGCCUGGAUAAUUUUGCCUACAAAUGAGAGUAAUAAUAGGAGAGACCUCCCUAUUGGUGCAUCAGAUGAUUAUAGUGGUUAGUACACAUCCAAUCACUUAGUAUAGUGCCCAGUGCAGAGAAGCCUUCUUUCUCCAAGAGUUGUCCCUCAUGGUCUUUCUUCUUGCUUACAAUGGUACUUGCAGGGUCCCACAGCUGGAAACUCUAUCAUCUUGCUCUCUGCUCUUUGGCUGUUUCUUCUAUCCUGAUCAUGACCCUCCUGCCCUGGGUCUGUCUUCACAGGCUGUCUUCUCUGCCUUCUGUUUAGGGGAAAGCCAAACUACAGAGGGCCUAACUCACGCAUGAAAGGAAGAACUGAAGUAGGAUGGAAGCAUGUGGCAGGUUUCUCCAUCACAGUUUCUGUCUUGAUUUUGUAAGAAGAACAAUUCCAGAGUUUAAAAGAGCUCACAUCUUACAGGAUCAACCAAGGGUGAUGGUAGAACAUGAAGACUUCUUAUCUAUUUGGUUAGGCUCUUCAAAGCAGCAAGGAAAGAGUGCAUGCACCUGGAUCCUCCUCGCCAAUAAGGAAACCCAGAGUGCCAUCUCUUUAAGUGAGACACGUAUCAGAACAUGGCAUCGACCCCAGAAAUUGCACAGAGCCAGAGUGUCCCCAGCAUCAACACCUUUCAGGAGAGAAACUGAAUUCAUUUGCCAACAACCAACUCCAUCGGACAGUGCCAGAAAGUACGGGACUGCUUGCGUUCAUUUCUUCGAGAUGAGUCAGGGUUGCAGGGUGUCGAUGAUUAGAUGUAAAUGUUAAACCAAAAGCCCAUGGUGGUCACUUUGGCUUUCCUUCUGUGGAAAUCCAGCUUCUCACUUGGGGGGAAGGGGUUGUGUUACAUGUGAUAUUGGCAUGUUGCUCUGGUUUCCUGAAGCCCCCAUUUUUUGGGUCUCUCUGUGCCCUUCCCAUAUACACAAACACAUUUUCAGGUAAAACAUCUGGAAGGUCCUAUUUCAAAAGAGCAUGGCCAAGAAAAUCUUUCCAUUUGUAAAAAUAAUGUAAACCCUUUAGACUGUAAUGUCCUGCAGAGCAGGGGAAUUAUACAACAGCAAUAAAAUUGUCAGCUUUCAAUAAUCA